rnacentral:rRNA from 1 species
GGCAGACGGGUGAGUAAUGCGUAGGAAUCUACCUAGUAGUACGGAAUAGCCAUUAGAAAUGGUGGGUAAUACUGUAUAAUCCCCGAGGGGGAAAGAUUUAUCGCUAUUAGAUGAGCCUACGUUAGAUUAGCUAGUUGGUGAGGUAAUGGCUUACCAAGGCUAUGAUCUAUAGCUGGUCUGAGAGGACGAUCAGCCACACUGGAACUGAUAUACGGUCCAGACUCCUACGGGAGGCAGCAGUGGGGAAUAUUGGACAAUGGGCGAAAGCCUGAUCCAGCUAUGCCGCGUGAGUGAAGAAGGCCUUCGGGUUGUAAA